UACGUAGGGUGCAAGCGUUGUCCGGAAUUAUUGGGCGUAAAGAGCUCGUAGGCGGUUUGUCGCGUCUGCUGUGAAAACUCAGGGCUUAACUCUGAGCUUGCAGUGGGUACGGGCAGACUAGAGUGCGGUAGGGGGAGACUGGAAUUCCUGGUGUAGCGGUGAAAAUGCGCAGAUAUCAGGAGGGAACACCGGUGGCGAAGGC
rnacentral:rRNA from 1 species